UACGAAGGGGGCUAGCGUUGCUCGGAAUCACUGGGCGUAAAGCGCACGUAGGCGGCUUUUUAAGUCAGAGGUGAAAUCCUGGAGCUCAACUCCAGAACUGCCUUUGAUGACUGGAGAGCUUGAGUCCGGGAGAGGUGAGUGGAACUGCGAGUGUAGAGGUGAAAUUCGUAGAUAUUCGCAAGAACACCAGUGGCGAAGGCGGACUCACUGGCCCGGUACUGACGCUGAGGUGCGAAAGCGUGGGGAG
rnacentral:rRNA from 1 species